rnacentral:rRNA from 1 species
AUGGCCGCUGGAGCAGGUAGUUUGGAGCGAGUGUCGGAUGCGCUUCAUUCAGAGGCUUUGACGAUGCUUUAUGCCAUAAGCACAACCAUCCAAAUGGGAUGCAAUCGAGUAAUUAUGGAGACAGACUCUAUACAGAAUCAUCCGGAGAAGGAAAUACGCGAGGAAUCAAAUCAAUUUCCAGGCCCUGUUUGGUUAAUCCCCUCACCAAAGGGAUUGAGUGGGAUUGAAGAGUUUUGUGCACGGAUUGCAAAUGAGAAGUGUUUCUCAAUACUAGCUGUAACAUUCUACUGCGUAUCCAUGUUUUUCUUUGUUUUGAUUCGGCUUUCAAUUAAUGCUUAUGCACAGGAUGUCCGUGUCAUCAUCUUUGACGUGAGAGGCGGAGGGCAAGCAUUGCGUUCUAUGGUCAAUAGAAGGACGACCCGUCACCGUGUCCUGGCUCUGCUGGUGUACAUGGGUGUACCGGUCACCCCGGCUCCCAAUCCCUUCAACCGACCUUCCCCGGGCCAUAGCUAUCAUAUCAUCCGGUUGAUAGACCCUUACCAGCCGCGGCUGCAAGUGGAUUUGCUGAUUAGAGAUACUGACUUAUACCUUGUCGCAUUUCGCCGUUCACUCGAUGGCAAUUGGGGCAUUUGGUAUAGAUUCAGUGAUCAACAAGUCCCUAGCUUUAUUGUUGCUCUUGAUUUGGGUUUCACUUCCAACUAUUCUCGUGAUCCUCGCAGCAUUCCGACAGUAGGUGGUCCCGAGGACAUGGUUUUUAUCUUCAACACCUUGGCACGCCAUGAGGACAGGUUGAGGUUGAUUCCUGCAGUCCAGAGAACUCUGCACAUUGCUACAGUCCGGAGAGCUGUGCAGAAUGCUGCAGUGGUUUUCUGCGAGGUUAUGAGAUUCAUUGCUGUUUUGCUCGAGAUGGUCCGUAGACUGGAAGCAGGGGAGGCCGCCUCUGUGUUGCCUGGGGAGAUGUGGAAUAUGAUUACCUCGUGGCAUGUGGAUUGUCAGUUUAUCCUUGACAUGAGGAGGCGGUUGGCGUUACCCGCACAUCACUGGGAAAGCCAUGUUAGUGAGGAUGAAAGACAGAGAUUCGAUCAGCUGAUCAACCGUGUGAGUGUCAUCAUCUACAUUCCAGAGUUUUUCACUUCUGAUACACGGCGGCUGACUCGACGGCAGGAGAAUGAGAUGCGCAAUAUCCAGGAUCCAGGUUUUCCCGUUGCAGAUGCUUAG